UAUAACUGUCACGGCUGCUAAUCUGCAGUCGCAGCACAAAUCGUAACCACUAAAGACCUCAAUAGCAAUGUGAACAAAUUUCACAUCAAUAGCAGCGGAUUGAUGCUGCAAAUAGCAGGUAAGGGAAUCAGAUAGCUUUAAAAAAAAUUCUCCCUCUCAACAAAUAGUGCACGAGAUGAGACAGAAUAACAAGCAGUAGGAUCUAAAACAGAAAUUUGAAUAUAACGGAUGAUGCAGAUGCAGAGACAAAUUUCAUGAUUGAAAUAGAAUGUUCAAGUUAGGUUUACGGUUUCAAAGAUUGCCUUAUUUAAUUCCUUGCUCUGUCGAAAACUAGAAGGUAGGAGAUGAAGAACUAGCAUAAAACCCACCACCAAAUCAGAAAAAUACAAGCCCAGAAAACUGAAACUGAAGAGGUUUUGAGAGAAUUUUACCAGAAAUUUAGAGGGAAAACAAGGAUUGAAACCGUAAAAGUGAAAGAGAAAUGUGAAGUUCUGUCCAUGUUAGGGAUUUGGGGAAGGGAAUUUUGGGGAAGGGGAUCUGAGGCAAAUAAAAUGGAGAAAAAAAGAUAGGGAUUUCGGGUGUUGGGGAUUUAGGGGAGGGAUUUCUGUGUUUUAAUUUGGGCAAAACAGAAUGAUGAUGUUUCGCUUAAUUGCUUUUGCGACGAGUUUUGAAGGCGCCGCUAAUUCUCA
rnacentral:lncRNA from 1 species